GAUGAACGCUGGCGGCGUGCCUAAUACAUGCAAGUCGAACGCAUCCUUCGGGGUGAGUGGCAGACGGGUGAGUAACGCGUGGGAACGUGCCCUUCAGUUCGGGAUAACCCAGGGAAACUUGGGCUAAUACCGGAUACGUGCGAGAGCAGAAAGAUUUAUCGCUGAAGGAUCGGCCCGCGUCUGAUUAGCUAGUUGGUGGGGUAAUGGCCCACCAAGGCGACGAUCAGUAGCUGGUCUGAGAGGAUGAUCAGACACAUUGGGACUGAGACACGGCCCAAACUCCUACGGGAGGCAGCAGUGGGGAAUAUUGGACAAUGGGCGCAAGCCUGCUCCAGCCAUGCCGCGUGAGUGAUGAAGGCCUUAGGGUUGUAAAGCUCUUUCGUCCGGGACGAUAAUGACGGUACCGGAAGAAGAAGCCCCGGCUAACUUCGUGCCAGCAGCCGCGGUAA
rnacentral:rRNA from 1 species